UACGUAGGGGGCAAGCGUUGUCCGGAAUCAUUGGGCGUAAAGCGCGUGUAGGCGGUCCGGUAAGUCCGCUGUGAAAGUCGGGGGCUCAACCCUCGGAUGCCGGUGGAUACUGUCGGGCUCGAAUCCGGAAGAGGUGAGUGGAAUUCCUGGUGUAGCGGUGAAAUGCGCAGAUAUCAGGAGGAACACCAAUGGCGAAGGCAGCUCACUGGGACGGUAUUGACGCUGAGACGCGAAAGCGUGGGGAGCAAACAGG
rnacentral:rRNA from 1 species